UUGAAAGGGAAACGAUUGAAGUCAGUCGUGCUGGCGCGAAAUCAACCUUCUCGUCUUGAGAUCACAUGGCGUGGCGAGCCUCAAAACCGUCACGAAGCGUGAACUCUUUGUGAAAUGGAGCACUUUCGUGUCCGCUGGUUAACAUCAAUUUCGAACGUCAUAAAAAGGCUGGAGGGAUGUGGCUCCUUCGGGAGUGUUAUAACCUUUAGCGGAAUGUGGUGUUCGGGAUUGAGGAUUGCAACGAAUACCUUUAGGGCUGUUCCACCUGGCUUCUCUUUGGUAUCCUGGUGACGACAGCUUGCUGACGUCGUUAGGAUUCGCCUUUGAACAGGUUAGAGUGUGAGCAANUUCGUUAAGGAUGUUGACGUA
rnacentral:rRNA from 1 species